AAUACAUAUGAGCAAAGCAGUUGAAAAGCUGUGACGCAAAGCUUAGGGUCUAAACUCAAAAGAGCAUGAUUGCCAGUUGCAAAA
rnacentral:ncRNA from 1 species